AUUUGACAAAUUAAAAAAUUUUGAAUUAUUUUCGGAAAUGUUUAGUAUUCAAAACCUUUUCUUAAUAUUUUCAAAUUUAUUCAUUUAUAAAACAAAAAUUAAUAUACAUUCAAAGAAUGCAAAUUAUGUAGAAUUUUGACCCCAACCCAUGUUUGAAGUCGUUGAUGUAGUGGAUUAACAGAAAGAGGAAUAUUAGGAGAGAAUAUGCCUUGAGCUUUCACGAUGUCAGAAUUAUAGCUAUCUUUAUCAGGCCCGUUCCGUUAGCAUGGAAAAAAAAUUAUGUUUUCAAACAACAAGUUCCAGGCGGAAACCUAUCUUCUUUUUUGAAGACUAACGUUAAAAUACUUUUAGGAGAUAUAGUUAAAUGCUAGACUGAAAAGGAAAAACUCUUUUUUUGUUCGGUGACAGAUCUUGCUUCACAACAGUUCCAGAUUUGGGCAAGAUAUCUAAGGACCAAACAACUUCCGAACCGCACCGCGCCGAGUGACAUUCCAACUGAAGACAUUGACAUCCGACAAAAGCGUAUCCGAGCUUUACAUGAGCGAAUGCGUAUAAACUUAUAGGAGGCCAAUCAAACGCAGACACGCCCGAAUACCCUGGGAUAGGAGAACGAGUAUGUAAAAAGGU